GAUUUGCAUGAUCAUGGACAGAAAUAUGUCAUCAUCUUGGACCCUGCAAUUUCCAUAACUUCUCUUGCCAAUGGAGAACCAUAUAAAACAUAUGAGAGGGGAAAUGAACAGAAAGUGUGGGUAUAUCAAUCAGAUGGAACUACACCACUUAUUGGAGAGGUAUGGCCAGGAUUGACAGUAUACCCAGAUUUUACUAAUCCAAAAUGCAUAGAUUGGUG